UCGAGAAUCUUCGGCAAUGGGCGCAAGCCUGACCGAGCGACGCUGCGUGUGGGAUGAAGGCCCUUGGGUUGUAAACCACUGUCAGAGGGGAUGAAAGCGUAAGCUUGACAGAGCCUCAGAGGAAGCGCGGGCUAAGUUCGUGCCAGCAGCCGCGGUAAUACGAACUGCGCGAACGUUAUUCGGAAUCACUGGGCUUACAGGGUGCGUAGGCGGCCUUUCAGGUCCGAUGUGAAAUCCCCCAGCUCAACUG
rnacentral:rRNA from 1 species